GACGAACGCUGGCGGCGUGCCUAAUACAUGCAAGUCGAACGAGAGCGACCGGUGCUUGCACUGGUCAAUCUAGUGGCGAACGGGUGAGUAACACGUGGGUAACCUGCCCAUCAGAGGGGGAUAACAUUCGGAAACGGAUGCUAAAACCGCAUAGGUCUUCGAACCGCAUGGUUUGAAGAGGAAAAGAGGCGCAAGCUUCUGCUGAUGGAUGGACCCGCGGUGCAUUAGCUAGUUGGUGAGGUAACGGCUCACCAAGGCCGUGAUGCAUAGCCGACCUGAGAGGGUGAUCGGCCACAUUGGGACUGAGACACGGCCCAAACUCCUACGGGAAGCAGCAGUAGGGAAUCUUCCGCAAUGGACGCAAGUCUGACGGAGCAACGCCGCGUGAGUGAAGAAGGUGUUCGGAUCGUAAAACUCUGUUGUUAGAGAAGAACAAGUGCUAGAGUAACUGUUAGCGCCUUGACGGUAUCUAAACAGAAAGCCACGGCUAACUACGUG
rnacentral:rRNA from 1 species